rnacentral:rRNA from 1 species
ACGGAGGGUGCAAGCGUUAUCCGGAUUCACUGGGUUUAAAGGGUGCGCAGGCGGGAUAUUAAGUCAGUGGUGAAAGCCCCGAGCUCAACUUGGGAACUGCCAUUGAAACUGAUAUUCUUGAAUAUAGUUGAGGUAGGCGGAAUACAGCAUGUAGCGGUGAAAUGCAUAGAUAUGCUGUAGAACACCAAUUGCGAAGGCAGCUUACUAAACUAUUAUUGACGCUGAGGCACGAAAGCGUGGGGAGCGAACAGG